GUUUGCUUGUGCCUGUUUGUAUUCGUUGCACGUCGCGAAUAGAUCGCGAUCUGUCCCUAAUCUUCGAGGAAUCUACGAUCAAGAUUUGGUGAUUCCGAGAUCAAGCUUCUCAAGAUCUACAAGGUUGAAGACCCUGAGCAUCUGUUUGGUGAAGGUUGCCUUUGGUGAAACAUAUGCUUAGGUAAAGAAGAAUAAGAAGAAAGCGUCGAGGCGGAUCUCCAAGAGUUCCAGGAUUUCGAUGAGUUCGAGGAUUAGGCUAGCGACCUCCCCUAGUCAGCUGCCUGUGAUGGGUUUAUUUACUUGGCUACAUUUCUAUUCUGUGUACUUUGAUUUAUAUUAUGUAAAUGACUCUAGUAUGUAAUAUUAUUACUUACUCUUUAUUGUCAUUCGAAGCACUGUGCUAUGAUGAG
rnacentral:lncRNA from 1 species